GAUGAACGCUGGCGGCGUGCCUAAUACAUGCAAGUCGAGCGAACAGACGAGGAGCUUGCUCCUCUGACGUUAGCGGCGGACGGGUGAGUAACACGUGGAUAACCUACCUAUAAGACUGGGAUAACUUCGGGAAACCGGAGCUAAUACCGGAUAAUAUAUUGAACCGCAUGGUUCAAUAGUGAAAGACGGUUUUGCUGUCACUUAUAGAUGGAUCCGCGUCGCAUUAGCUAGUUGGUAAGGUAACGGCUUAACAAGGCAACGAUGCGUAGCCGACCUGAGAGGGUGAACGGCCACACUGGAACUGAGACACGGUCCAGACUCCUACGGGAGGCAGCAGUAGGGAAUCUUCCGCAAUGGGCGAAAGCCUGACGGAGCAACGCCGCGUGAGUGAUGAGGGUCUUCGGAUCGUAAAACUCUGUUAUUAGGGAAGAACAAAUGUGUAAGUAACUAUGCACGUCUUGACGGUACCUAAUCAGAAAGCCACGGCUAACUACGUG
rnacentral:rRNA from 1 species